ensembl:ribozyme Rpph1 ribonuclease P RNA component H1
GGCGGGGGAAGCUCAUCAGCGGGGCCACGCGCUGAGUGCUCGUCACUCUCUCGGCCCCUGGGAAGGUCUGAGACUGGGGCCUCCCGCGGCCCUAACCGGGCUCUCCCCGAGUGGGGAGGUGAGUUCCCAGAGAGCAGGGCUCCACGCGUGGGCAGACUGGGCAGGAGAAGCCCCCGGGUGGGCGGAUGCCUCCCUCGCCGGGGCUUGGAACAGACUCACGGCCAGCAAUUCGAGUUCAAUGGCUGAGGUGAGGCACCUCGCGGGCCUCAUAACCCAAUUCAGACUACUCUCCCCCGCC